rnacentral:lncRNA from 1 species
GUGUAUUUUGCUUCCUUUUCAGCAUCCAAGUCUCAUUUGUAAAGGAAAUUAAAAAAUCAAUAAUUUAAAUACAAUUCACAAAUUCAUAUCUAAGUAUACAUAGCUACAUAGACCAUAUGCGUACGCAUUCAUGCAUGUAUACGUAUAUAUUAUGACCAUAAGUGUGCAUAUAGAGUAUGUAAUGGCUGAUGUUCCAUGUGAGGAUCACCUGGAUAUCACAAGGCAUGCAGAAUGCCCAGAGGUUGCCCAGACCACUAGGCACAACCUGUAACAAAAGUGGAUCAACUGUAGUGGUAGUAUCUUGCUUCAUAUUUGUUGAAAUAGCCUAUGAAGGAGGAAGAAUGUAUAUCACAAGGCAUGCAGAAUGCCCAGAGGUUGCCCAGACCACUAGGCACAACCUGUAACAAAAGUGGAUCAACUGUAGUGGUAGUAUCUUGCUUCAUAUUUGUUGAAAUAGCCUAUGAAAGAGGAAGAAUGUAUACCUUGUUUUUGUUGGAAAAAGCUUCUGAUAGCCAUAUAGACACUAUUCUUGGAUGGCCUGGCUUUAGGUUUUAUAAUUAGCUGGAAAAACUUUGCUUCAUUCUUUCAUGGAUAUUUCUUAUGUUGGAUGCUUCUCUCUAUAGUCAACUUCUACUUGAUGGUACAUGGUGUGUACAAAGCUUAUGGUAGGCUAGUGAUGGACCUCAUUUGGCAGGCAAGGAGGAAAAAGGUUAAUGGACUUGUGUGUUAAGGCAAAUAUUGGAGCAAUUACAUGCAUGCAUGCUGUUUGUGGAUAGACUAGGAAGUUCAUCUUCAGAAAGUCUUUUCUGGCGAUCAACUUGAAGCCCCAGCCAUUUGAUUCAUUAGUUGCUUAUCCCCAAAAUGAGUCAUCAUGGUGAGUGCUAUUGGCUUGUGAAAUAAUUUUAGUUAAUGAAAAGGUAGA